GUGUCUGACCAGGGUGCCCCAAGGUCUGUUCCAGCCUUGAAUCUGAUUCCAUGUCAUGGGUAACCCCAAGGAGAUCAUUUAAUCUUUCUGAGACUCUGAGAGACUCCGUGGUAAGGAAACAAGAGUCAUCCAAGUGGACUUCACUGGAGGCCUAGAGGUCUAUGAGACAGGUGAGAGAGCCUUGGAGGGCCUAGAGAUCGGCAUUCUAGUCAAUGCUGUUGGCAUAACUCCCACGCAAGUCCUGCAGAAGCUAAUGGCUUUGAAGAACACAGGCAAG